AGACCCGAAACCCGGUGAUCUAGCCAUGGGCAGGUUGAAGGUUGGGUAACACUAACUGGAGGACCGAACCGACUAAUGUUGAAAAAUUAGCGGAUGACCUGUGGCUGGGGGUGAAAGGCCAAUCAAACCGGGAGAUAGCUGGUUCUCCCCGAAAGCUAUUUAGGUAGCGCCUCGUGAAUUCAUCUCCGGGGGUAGAGCACUGUUUCGGCUAGGGGGCCAUCCCGGCUUACCAACCCGAUGCAAACUGCGAAUACCGGAGAAUGUUAUCACGGGAGACACACGGCGGGUGCUAACGUCCGUCGUGAAGAGGGAAACAACCCAGACCGCCAGCUAAGGUCCCAAAGUCAUGGUUAAGUGGGAAACGAUGUGGGAAGGCCCAGACAGCCAGGAUGUUGGCUUAGAAGCAGCCAUCAUUUAAAGAAAGCGUAAUAGCUCACUGGUCGAGUCGGCCUGCGCGGAAGAUGUAACGGGGCUAAACCAUGCACCGAAGCUGCGGCAGCGAACGUAUCACCCAAGACAACUUUACGGAGUUGACGAUUGACGGAGCGAAGCGACGUCAAAGCGUUCAUUAAAGUCGAGUUGGCUUAGGGAUACGUUCGUUGGGUAGGGGAGCGUUCUGUAAGCCUGUGAAGGUGUGUCGUGAGGCAUGCUGGAGGUAUCAGAAG
rnacentral:rRNA from 2 species